CCAUCACUUCUUCUCUAUCUCUUCGUUUAUCUAUCAAUCUAUCUAUCCAUCUCUUCCCUAUCUCUCCCCUUAUCUAUCAAUUUAUCUCUCUAUCUCUCUAUUUAUCUCUCUCUCUGACUAUCUAUCUGUCUAUCUGUCUAGACAUCUAUAUCUUUAUCUCUGUUUCUCUCUCUCUCUCAAUCUCUAUACUGAUGACCUUCGCCAUCACCCCCACCACCACCUCCACCACAAUCGGCUACACUUACCCUCCUCCCCAUCUUCUUUUCCAUCCGAAUUCCAAUAGACAGAUGAAUAAAUGGAUGGAUGGAUGGAUGAUCGGAUGGAAUUUCUCCGUAAACACCAUAUUUAUUCACACACACACAUAUGUAUGUGUGUGUAUGUAUAUAUACAUAUAUAUAUACAUAUGUGUGUGUGUGUAUAUAUAUAUAUAUAUAUAUAUAUAUAUAUAUAUAUAUAUGGGCGUCUGUAUUCAUUUGGUUUCCUGCAUAUUUUCCUUCUCCGACCCCCAAAUCCCCUCCUAAACCAAGAUGGAAUCAAUCAGUGCAUGUUGGAACUGUUUUAUAUUUAUCACACACAAAAUGUAAAACAAAAUUAUUGUCAGUGAUAAAAGAUAAAAAAAAAAAAUUGCCUGUAUAAACGUAUCAAGAUAUAUUAAACAUUACACAUAUUUGCAAACUAUUCACACACACACACACAUACAUACACAUAUACACACACAGAUAUAUCAAUAAUAUAUCACUCAUAUAUACAUCUAUAACUGUGUAACCUUUGAUGGUAGCUAAUAGGUUCAGGCAUAGCUGUGUGGUUAAAAGUAUGCUUCCCAGCCACAUGGUUCUGGGUUCAAUCCCACUGUGUGGUAUCUUAGCUUGUUCAGCUUGAGCCUAUAGUAAAAGCCAUUCAUAAAAGAAUUAUUUCUUUUAUGAAUAGAAAAAGAUAAAACUCAAACAUAGUCCUGUAUUUAAUGAAGCACACACACACAUACAAAUAUUCUUUAGUGUGGCUGUGUGGUAAGAAUUUUACUUUCCAGCUACAUGGUUCUGGGUUCAGUCCCACUGUGUGGCAUGUUGGGCAAAUGCCUUCCACUUUAGUCUCGGGUCUACUGAAAUCUUGUAAGUGGAUUUGGUUGACAGAAACUGAAAGAAGCUCAUUGUAUGUAUGUGUGUGCAUGCGUGUGUGUGUGUGUGUUUGUCCCCUGCAAUCGCUUGACAACCGGUAUUGGUAUGUUUAUGUCCCUGUAACUUAGUGGUUCAGCAAAAAAGCCUGAUAGAGUAAAUACCAGGCUUAAAAAAAAUAAGCACCUAGGUUAAUUCCUUUGACUAAACUCCUUCAAGGUGGUGCCCCAGCAUGGCCACAGCUUAAUGACUGAAACAAGUAAAAAAAACAAAAAACACACGUAUAUAUGUGCAUGUGCAUUCCUUGGAUUUUCUUAAUCUCAUCCGUAUUGGAUCCGCCAUUACCAUCCAUAUCCAAGGCUGAUGGCAUGACCUUUAGUUUCAUAGUAUUAUCCUAAAUGCCAAAACUGCAAAUUCCUUUUGUCAGGAAAUCUGACGAAAGGGAAACUCCCAGCUCUUUCCCUUUGCACUGUGUCACCUCGUUUUGUACCUUUCCUUACGAAUACACACAUACCCAGACAAACACUGACACACACACACAUUCUUGCAUUAGGAGACACAACCUAUUUCCAUUAUGGAGUCCCAAUCAACCGUUCAUCUCGUUACUGUACAAACAUUAGUAUCAAAGACUCCAGUUACUGUUGUUGUACUUAUUGCACUAACUCAGGCCCUGGUAUUUUCAUUAAUCUAAUUGCAGUCAAACGAACACUGCACUCUAAUAAGUUUAUUGUUAUCACUAUUAUUAUUGUUGUUAUUGUAGUUGUUGUUGCUAACAAUGACAGUGAGCUGGCAGAAUCAUUAGAACAUGAGAAAAAUGCAUCACAGAAUAAAGGAUGGCACUCUUCUGCAGGUCAUCAUGCAUAUCUCUGUUCCAAUAUCCUUUAGUCUCUUAGACAGCAUUUAGAGGAUUGUGCCAAAAUAUCUUGCUUCUUUUAUCUUUUACUUGUUUUAGUCAUUUGACUGCGGCCAUGCUGGAGCCCCGCCUUUAGUCGAGCAAAUCGACCCCCGGGAUUUAUUCUUUGUAAGCCCAGUGCUUAUUCUAUCGGUCUCUUUUGCCGUACUGCUAAGUGACGGGGACGUAAACACACCAGCAUCGGUUGUCAAGCAAUGCUAGGGGGACAAACACAGACACACAAACAUAUACACACACAUACACAUAUAUAUGACAGGCUUCUUUCAGUUUCCAUCUACCAAAUCCACUCACAAGGCAUUGGUCGGCCCGAGGCUAUAGCAGAAGACACUUGCCCAAGAUGCCACGCAGUGGGACUGAACCUGGAACCAUGUGGUUGGUAAGCAAGCUACUUACCACACAGCCACUCCUGCGCCUAAAUACCACCAAAAUAAUUAUCAUCUUUGGCUUCUGAAAUUUCUCCAUUUCUUCAUUUCUCUUGUUAGGUCCCGCUAUUUCUCAGUUUUUCUCAAUUUUAAGGGAGUGAGGCUGGCAGAAUCGUUAGCACCCCAGGUGAAGUACUUAGCGGUAUUUCGCAUGUCUUUAUGCUCUGAGUUCAAAUUCCGCCGAGGUUGACUUUGCCUUUCUUCCUUUCAGGAUCGAUAAAUUAAGUCCUGGUUGCAUUCUGGGAUCAAUCUAAUCGACUGGCCCCCUCCUCCCCCAAAAUUUCAGGCCUUGUGCCUAGAGUAGAAAAGAUUAUAUUAUUGUUUCAAGGCAGCAAACUGGCAGAAACGUUAGCAUGCCGGGCGAAAUGCUUAGCGGUAUUUUGUCUGUCUUUACAUUCUGAGUUCAAAUUCUGCUGAAGCUGACUUUGCCUUUCAUACUUUCAGGGUUGACAAAACAAGUACCAGUUGAGUGCUGGGGUUUAUGUAAUCGACUUAUCCCCUCUUGUGAAAUUGCUGGCUGUGUGCCAAAGUUCUUCUUCUUCUUCUUCUUCUUCUUCUUCUUCUUCUUCUUAUCAUCAUCAUCAUCAUCAUCAUCAUCAUCAUCAUCAUCAUCAUUAUUAUUAGUAGUAGUAGUAGUAGUAUUGUGUGGUGGUGGUGGUGAGCUGGCAGAGUUAGUACUGGAUAAAGUGCUAAACAGCAGCACUUCUGGCUUUUUUGGGUUCAGAUUCCAUUUUGUAAACUUUACUUUUAAUCCUCUUGGGGUCAAUGAUAUAAGCACCGGUUGAGCACCAGGGUCAACGUAAACGACUUAUCUCCUCCCUUGAACUUGCUGGCCUGGUGCCAAAAUUUGAAUCAUCAUCAUCAUCAUACUUUAAGAGAAAGCAGCUACAACCAUGAGCAUUUAUGGACUCUGCUCCAGACUGGUCGCUAAGUUGAUGUAUUUUGAUAUUCAUGUUCAACUGUUGCAAGGUGAUGACUGCAUUAAAAACCAUGAGGAAAUUAGGGAAGAGAUUUCAGUGGGAUCAAGUUUUGAAGAGGAAGGAUUGGGUGAAAAAAAAUGCACAAAAUGCGACAUGGUGCAAUGAUUAAGGGGACGCAAUAUGGGCUGUGAAACAAUAGAUAGAUGACCAUUGUGCCAUGUGGCCUUGUCACGUAAAAAAAUCCUGUGUUUGCAUUAUCUUAACAACAUCAAAAUUAGAAAUAUGACAGUCUUGAUUAAUGUGGAAGUGUUCAAUAAGUUCCUUAUCAGAAUGAUUGAUAAUUAAUUCUGAGAAAAUAUUGCAUGAGAGGAAGUGAUGUGAAUUUAUUUGAAGAUCAAAUGCUCCUGGCAACCACCUGCUGUUUCACACGUAAAUUACAUCAAUGGUUGUACUAAUGGAAACUUAUGUUUGGUAGUACACUAACACAAUUACAUGCAAUACUAUUGCUGGAGUUAAUUAAACAAUUUAUAUAACUUUUGGGAAUAGCUAACUUAAUUAGGUUUUGUUUUCUUUUUUUAAUUAAGGAAUUGAAUUUUGUUGCAGUUAAAGGAAAAAAUGAAUGUUUUCUUUUUCGGUAUUCAGUUUAUUUAAAACUAACUUUAUCUAUAAAGAAUGUCUUUCAUUAAAUAUUCAGUUUACAGUCAUAAAAAAGUGAAAGUAAAUUUUCUUAAAAAAAUUGAAAGUAAAUUGCAGUAGAAACUGGAAGUGACAUUCUGUUAUCUUACAAUAAUAUAUGAGAUACUUGUGGAUGUAGCACAAUGAGGGAGUUCUUUAUGUUCUUAUCAGGAAAUUUUGGGUCGUCACUACCAGUUUCUAUAGCAAUUUACUUUCAUGUUCUCUAGGACAAUUUACUUUCACUAUUUUAUUACCAUAAACUGCAUGUUAACCCAUUCUUCUUUCUCUCAGUGGUUUUGGGGUUAAAUGAAAUACAAAUAUGAAUGUAACUAUUAACCCUCUCUUGGGGUUGUUAAUUUCCGUGAUAGCGAUAUUGCCAAUGUAUAUAAUAUGAACAAACAGUUGAAUUAGGCCACAUGUUCAUUCAAGGUUUAUAUUUUCUUUUCCACUUUGUAUAUUAUAGCUUCUUCCUCUUAGUUUGUUUUCCCUUCUCCUUUUCUGUAUUAAUGAGAUCAACUUAUAACUUGCUUUUAUUAGCAAGUGGUUAGUUUUGUAAAUAAAUUGAAUAAUAACAAGUCAAUUAGAAAGUAAUUAAUACUGCAGUGUAAGCAGUUAGUUUACCUGAUAUUUAAUAUUAUAAUUAACCAAACUGAAAAUUCCUGCAAGUAAUUUGAGUAAAGCUUAGCUUUGUUAAAUUAAAAUUUAAUCCAUUCAUUUCCUAUUUUCAUAAUUAAUUACACACACAGACACACACACAAAUGUAGGUAUUAAUGUGAGAGAUCAAAUAGGGGACACUAAAAUAGUCUCACAUUUCACAGGGUGACAGAUGUUUUAUAAGCAGAUAUGUUUGCUUUUAAAAUUGAAAAUUUUAUUUGAAAAACAUCCAUUUUUCAGAAAGAAAGUGGGUGGAGGUACGCUUCUGUAGUUAUACAGGAAAUUUUUGUCCUUAUAAUAGAAACAUUCUCAAAAAAAAAAAAAGUGGUUUUAAAAGGCUUUCUGUUAAAACGUUUCCUUUAAUUAAAAGAUACAAUUAUUUUGCUGCCCUUUUGUCUACUGUGAGUAGACAAAAAUAUAAUUGGCAUUAGUGAGCCAAAGUUUUUUUUGACUAACAAGCAAACACACACACACACAUACAUAUACAUAUGUGCACAUACACACACAUACACAUACAGAAACACACGGAGACAUGCAUACACACAAUCACACACACUUUUUGAGCUCCUCUUGUAUAACUACGUGGUUUGAAUGACUUAAAGCUGUGGUUCCCAACCUGGGGUCCGUGGACCCUUGGUUGUCCUCGAAGCUAGUAAUGGGGGUCCGUGAACUACAGGGUGGCCCAAAAGUAGGUUUACAGUUAUUCAACUAUCUCUUUCUCAUUCAUAAAUUAACAGUUUAGAUCUUAAUUAUCAAAAAAAUAUGAAACCAUUAUUCUAUGCUAAUUUAGUUAAUUUUGUUAAGCUCCCCUUUUCAGUUUGUAAGACAGAUAUUUAAAUGUAAUAAGAUGUUUUAAAAGAAAUCUAAAGUGCCUACGUGAUAGCUGUAAACCUACUAUUCAAAAUUUCAUAUAUAUAUAUAUAUAUAUAUAUACAAAUCAUUCAAAUCUGAAGAGUCUACUAGAAUAGAUGCAAGCGUUAAUAUAUGAUUUAUAGAAACAUGUGACAUAUUAAUAAAAAUCUGUAAAUAUAAAACCAUCCAGAUUUCUGAGUACCUUAUUUCUUCUAAUAUAUAUAUAUAUGUAUAUAUACAUAUAUAUAUAUAUAUAUAUAUAUAUAUGUAUAUGUGUGUGUAUAUACAUGUAUAUAUAUAUAUAUGUAUAUAUAUAUAUAUAUAUAUAUAUACAUAUAGUGAGAAUUUACAAAAGAAAAAAGGAAAAAAAGACGAAGAUGGGUGUAUAAACAACAAUAUAAGUACUGGGGUCAAUUUGCUUAGAUAAAACCCUUCAAGGUGUUGCCCCAGCAUGGUCACAGUCCAGUGACUAAAACAAGGGAAAGGUGAAAGACAAAAGACACACACACACACAUGCACACACUCAGAGUCUUAAACUUCAAUAACUGAUAACAUCACCACAUGAUACUAUUCGGCAAUCAGGGAUUCAAAGGGGAUGCGUGCUUGUUCCAUGCCAUGUAAUUUCGGAAAAUAAAAGGAAAUAUAACUUUGCAAUCAAUUCUUUUUGUUCUUGCCACCACCACUACCACCACUACCACCACCACCGCCACCGCUACCACCACCGCUACCACCACCGCUACCACCACCACCACCACCACCACUACGGCUAACACCACCGCUACCACCACCGCUACCACCACCACUACCACCACCACUACCACCACCACCACCACCACCAUCUACCACCACCACCACCACUACCACCACCGCUACCACUACCACCAACACCACCACCACACCACCACCACUACCACCACUGCCACCAUCACCACCAUCCUUUUGUAUUAGAUUGAGUUAAAGCAUUGCUUUUGUCUCCUCUUUAUUCUUAGUAAAUAAUCUCACUUUUAAUAAGUCUUCAACAUGUUUUCAGAUCAAUAUAUCAAUAUUGAUCUUUCUGCCUUUGGAACGUGACCACACAUUCUGAAGUUAGCGACGUGACUUUGAUGCCGCCACAGCAGCCGCAGCCGACAAUAUUUUGCAACCAUCGUCCAAAAUGUCAGUCAAUAAAUAUUCUUGUGUUUUGCCGCUGACAUCUGAAAAGCCGACAUAAUGAGCCAAAUAAGGAAAUUCGCAUGCUUGCCAAACACAUUAAACUUCCUGUUUAUCUGGUUUCUUUUGUGAUUUAAUUCAAUAUUGGAUGGCGUGGCAUCACAGAAACUUGGUAAAAAUUUUCUCUCAGAAGCAAAUUUGAACAUCGACAAAGAGAAUUGUUGAGAAUUAGUUGAAGCUUAUGGUUUUCCAGUCUUGCUAGAAAUAAAGAUAUACGUCUUUAAAAUUUAAAGCAUUUAUUAACAAGGCCUUGAGUCUGUGAUGUUGCCAAGUGUUCAUUCCUGCUCCAAAUAUAUUGUAGCUGGCAGAAUUGUUAGUAUGCCGGGCGAAACGCGUAGCCGUAUUUCAUCUGCCAUUACGCUCUGAGUUCAAAUUCCGCCGAGUUCGACUUUACCUUUCAUCCUUUCGGGGUCGAUAAAUAAAGUACCAGUUUCACAUUGGGGUCGAUGUAAUCAACUUAAUCCGUUUGUCUGUUCUUGUUUGUCCCCUCUGUGUUUAGCCCCUUGUGGGCAGUAAAGAAAUAGGUAUUUCGUCUGCUGUUACGUUCUGAGUUCAAAUUCCGCCGAGGUCGACUUUACCUUUCAUCCUUUCGGGGUCGAUAAAUAAAGUACCAGUUUCGCAUUGGGGUUGAUGUAAUCGACUUAAUCCGUUUGUCUGUUCUUGUUUGUCCCCUCUGUGUUUAACCCCUUGUGGGCAGUAAAGAAAUAUAUAUUGUAGACGGAAUAGGAACAACUGCAGAAUUUUCGUGAGUUAAUUCAAUAUUGGACAGUAACAUGACAUAAAUUUGGUAGAAAUUUUCUCUCAGAAGAAAAUUUGAACAUUGAUAAAGAAAUCUGUUGGGAAUAAGUAGAAAGUUAUUGUGUUGUAGCCUCACUAGAAUUUUUACAGCUAGAAAUAAAAAUGUGUCUUUAAAAUUUAAUGCAUUUGUUUAUAUGGCCUCGAGUUUAAGAUAUUGCCAAGUGUUAAUUCAUGGCCCACUUAUACGCUAUAGGUAGAAUAAAAACAGUUGCAGAAUUUCCAUGAUUUAAUUUAGUAUUUGACUGCAUGGCACCACAUAAUCUUGGUAAGAAUUUUCUCUCAGAAGCAAAUUUGAACAUUGAUAAAAUAAAUUGUUGAGAAUUAGUGGAAUCUUAUGGUUUUCUAACCUCUCUAGAAUUUUUACUACAAGAAAUAAAAAUGUAUGUCUUUAAAAUUCAAUGCAUUUAUUUAUAAGGAAUGUUGCCAAACGUUCAUUCCUGUAUAUGUGGUGUAGGAAUUAACACUCUUAGACUCAAAGCCUUAUAAAUAAAGUGAUGCAAAGUGUCAAUUGCUUGCAGUCCACUGCAAAAACAUGUCUGGUCUGCUUGUUGAUUGAUAAUGUAGCACAUUGUUACAUCACUUGGAAACAAGAAAGGCAUCCAGCCAUAGAAACCCUACCCUGGCAUACUUUCACUUGACCUUUGCAAAUAUGGAAUGGAAAAGUCAACAUUAAAACGAUGGUGGUGACUUACAUAUAUUCUUGAAAGGAUCGGUUUAUUUUCUUGCUGUGCAAAAAAAUGGGAUGGCUCACCAAACACCAGGCCCUCUCCCAGUUGUUUUAUAUGGGUUAAGCACCAGCGUUUAGAGAUUUGUGGUAUGCGAAAAUAUAAAAUUGAAUCUCCAUCAUCAUCAUCAUCAUCACUGUCGGCGUCAUUCUUACCAUCAUUCUCGUCCUCCUCUUCCUCCUCCUCAUCACCAUCAGCAUCAUCAUCAUCAUCAUCAUCAUCAUCAUCACUGUUAAUGUCAGAGCAAAAACAACGAUAAGGAAAUUUCAGAUUUUUUUUCUUUCCUUAUUUUGUUUUCAAGUAUUUCCUCAACCAUCUUCAGAAAAUUUAUUUUCCUCUCAACUUUAUAUAAAUUCAUAUUUGUUUGUUUUUACUCUAAAAUAAAAAUAAAAUAAUUAUGGUCACAGCUCUUGAACUGAAACUAGUUAAAGAGUUAAUUAAAUAAAAACAAACGAAUAAUUAUUCCCUUAUCAAAAUAUUUUACACUAUUAUUAUUUUUCUCGUUUGUUAUAAAAAAAAUUAUCAUAGUAGUUGAAAAUUUGUAUCUUGUUCUUUUUGUAUGUGUGUGUUUCGGUUUCCACAUGUUACAUUACUUAAAAUAGGUACAGGUAUAGCCAUGUGGUGCAGGCAUAGCCAUGUGGUGCAGGCAUAGCCAUGUGGUGCAGGCAUUAGCUCUGUAGCCAUGUGGUUUCUGGUUUUGUUCCAUUGUGUGGAACUUUCGGUAUGUGUCUUCUUUGACUUUUAGCUUUGGACCGACCCUUGCUGGGUGAGAGGAAUUUUGCAGAUGUGCAUAUAACCACAGGUGCUAUCCACAAGUGUGCAUGACCUGUUGACUCAUACCAUGACAAGACACAACUAAGACUGCUUGCUGCACUUUAGUGCAAGCAAUUGCAUAUGUAAAUGCAGUCACACACACACACACACACACAAAUCAUUAUCACCAUCUUAAUGUUCACUUUUCCAUGCUCAUUUGAGUCAGAUGGAAUUUACCAAGGCAGAUUAUCCACAGCUGGAUGCCCUUGCUGUUGCCAACCCUUACCCAUUUCCAUAUAAGAUAAUAUUUCUCCAUGGCCAGACAUGUUUUCACAGAAGAUUGCAAAUGAGCGACACUGCAUGUAUCACAGUGACGUUCAUUUAUGACUAUCACUAGAUGUCAAGACAAGGAGAUGCAAACAUACAUGCAUAUGCACGCACACAACACACACACACAUACAUAUAAGUGUGUGUGGGUGUAUGUGUAUACAUGCAUAUAUAUGCACAUUCAUUUACACACACGCACACACAUACACAUACACACACAUAUAUGACAGGCUUCUGUCAGUUUUCAGCAACCAAACUUAAUCAGUAUGUGUUGACCAGCUGGCAGAAACGUUAGCACGCUGGGCGAAAUGCGUAGCCGUAUUUCGUCUGCCAUUACGUUCUAAGUUCAAAUUCCGCUGAGGUCGACUUUGCCUUUCAUCCUUUCGGGGUCGAUAAAUUAAGUACCAGUUACGCACUGGAGUCGAUGUAAUCGACUUAAUCUGUUUGUCUGUCCUUGUUUGUCCCCUCUGUGUUUAGCCCCUUGUGGGUAGUAAGAAAAAAAAAAAUAGAAAACACCUUUCUUCUACUAUACUAAUUCAAUCCUGAUGUCUUGGGUUCAAUCCCACAACAUAACACCAAGGUGCCGCACAGUGGGACUGAACCACGAACCACAUGCUUGAGAAAUGAACUUCUUAACCACACAGCCAUGGCCACAUACCACAAUUCCAAUCCUAUGGUAGGAGAUUCCUUGCAAUGUUUUGUCUUCGCAGUAGGUUUUUUUUUUGUUUGUUUUCAAAUCAGAGAACUGCUCUUGUUCUCCAAGUUGUCAAACAAAAAUAAAUACCGAUUCUUUGGGGAUUUCAAGCAGCUUGUGAUAUACUGGCAUCAUGGUUAUAACUAGAAUCAUCUGUCAUCUAUUAAUGUCUUUGAUACUUAAGCCACAUGAGACCAAUCCUGGUUCUCUGAUAUGGAAUCAGCCAUUUCUGAAGGAAUCGUGUGUAAAUGAAGAAAAAAAGAAAAGAGAAAGAAAGAAAUCAGCUUCUAUUGUACUUUAAUGCUGGAGACUUUUGUCUUUAGUUGUAUUACAUAUAAUAAUAAUAAUAAUAAUAAAAACAAUAUUAAUCCUUUCUACUAUAGGCACAAGGCCUGAAAUUUUUGGGGAGGGGACUAGUCGAUUACAUUGACACCAGUGUUUCACUGGUUACUUAAUUUAUUAACCCCGAAAGGAUGAAAGGUAAAAUCGACCUUGGCGGAAUUUGAACUCAGAACGUGAAGACAGGCGAAAUGCCUCUAAGGAUGUCACCCGGCAUGCUAACGAUUCUGCCAGCUCUCUGCAUUUUAAUAAUAAUAAUAAAUAAUAAUAAUAAUAAUAAUAAUAAUAAUAAACUUGGUAAUUUUAGGCUGAUUUCUUCCAACUUUCUUGAUCAUUUUCCAAAACUAUGGCAAACACAUCAGCAGUGUUUCUCAUCAGAAAGAAAUAUAAUCAUGAACUAAUUAAUUGAAGGGUUAAUUGGUGACAUUUUAUUAACAUGGAAAUGCUUAACUCCUGGCAGGGUUAUUUUCUUUUUUUCUUUUUUCUUUUUUCUUUUGAUAUUUUCUUUAUUUUGCUCUUAAAUGAUAUUAAUAUAACAUCUGAACAGAAUAUCAAAAUAUUCCACACAUGCACACAUAUAUAUCAUAGGACCUUUCUGAAUUAGGAACCAUCAGUUAAGUAUUAUCCUAUCCGAAAGAAAUUAUCCAUGAAAUCAAUUAAGCAGUAUCAGUUAAUGUAAUUACCAUAAAACCGUGAACCCACAAACAUGUUCCAAAUUAUAAGCAUGAAGGGUAAGUUCACAAUAACGAGACACCAAGAUAGAAAAGAUUUGCAAACAAGCUGAUCAAACAUAGAUCCCCAUCAUCAGCUGCCCAUCUAUUAUUGCUAUGGUGUCGGCACAUGGCUAGUACCAUUCAGCUAUGUGUAUAUAUAUGUGUUUGUGUGUGAGUGUGUGUGUGUGUGUUGGGGUGGGCCAGCCACAAAUACAAAGAUACACAUAAUUAUAGAUAGAUACGUGUGUGUGUAUAUAUAUAUAUAUAUAUAUAUAUAUAUAUAUACACACACAAAUAUAUAUAUACAUAUAUAUUGCAUGCGUGAUUGUGUGGUAAGAAGCUUGCUCCUGACAGCAUGUUUCUGGGUUCAGUCCCACUGUCUGGCACUUUUGCUAUAGCCUCAGGCCAACCAAAGCCAUGUGAGUGGACUUGGCAGGCAGAAACUGGAAGAGGCCCACCGUAUAUUUAUAUAUAUAUAUAUGUGUGUGUAUGUGUGAAUGUCUUUGUGCUUGAUAACUGGUAUUGGUGUGUUUAUAUCCCUGUAAUUUAGCAGUUCAGCAAAAGACACUGAUAGAAUAAGUACCGGACUUAGCAAAAUAUUAAGUCCUGGGACAGAUUCAUUUGACUAAAACUUCUUCAGCAUGGCCACAGUCCAAUAGCUGAAACAGGUGAAAGUAAAAGAUAUAUAAAAAGCUUCCACACAGUUUCCCCUCUACCAAAUACAAGGUCUGGGGUUAUAGUAGAAGACACUUGCUCAUGGUGCCACAUGGUGGAAGUGAACAUGGCUGUAAAGCAAGCUUCCUAAACAUGUGGCCAUAUGUAUGCCUGUCUAUUUAUGUAUUUGUGUUGUUGUUCUUUGCUUUCUAGUCUUUAAAUUUCUGCUUCAUCUUAAAAAAAUGAAAUGGUUCUGGGUGUAUAUACAUACAUACAUGCCUGCAUGUAUACAAAUGCAUAUCAUAUCACAUAUGAAUAUAUAAACACAAGGUCUCCCUCCCACAUCGAGGAAAUGGAAUACUUCUUGAAGAAAUAUAAUGUUUAAAUGUUCUGUAAGGAUAUGGUUUACUAGUUAAAUCACAAUUACAGGUCAUCAUCAUCGUCAUCGUUGCCAUCAUUGUCAUCAUCAUCAUUAUCGUCAUCAUCUUCAUUAUCGUCAUCAUCAUCAUUAUCGUCAUCAUCAUCAUUAUCGUCGUUGUCAUCAUUGUUGUCAUCAUCAUCACCAUCAUCAUCAUCAACAUCAUCAUCAUCGUCAAAAUCAUUAUCAUCAUUAUCGCAAUCAUCUUCAUCACCAUCGUUGUCAUCAUCAUUAUCAUUGUCAUCAUCAUCAUCAUAAUCGUCAUCAUCAUCAUCAUCAUCAUUAUCACUGUUGUCACCAUCGUCAUCAUCAUCAUCGUCAAAAUCAUCAUCAUCACCAUCGUUGCCGUCAUCAUUAUCAUCGUCAUCGUCAUCAUCGUCAUCGUCAUCAUCGUCAUCGUCAUCAUCAUGAUUGUCGGCUGUAAAUGGAAUCAUAAUAGGCCAAGCCAGCAAUGAGGGCAGAAAGAGGAGGAAGAGAGGCGAGACAUUGUGAAAAGCAUGGCAGGUUUUGCGCUGUAGGUCUUUAAGGAAAAAGAUAAACAAACAAAUGCAUUAAAUAACCUAGGAUUGUCAGGAAAGCUGUACAUGCUUAUUACACCCACACUGACAGACACAGAGAGACAUACACGAACAUAUAUAUUAGCACGCGUGUGUACGUGUGUGUGUGGAGGAACACCAGGUGACCUUACUGUUAGUGCUCAUGAAGAAAUGGUUUCAAAUGUACCGCACUUCCUUGAAUUAGAUAACACUUGUCUGAGACAUGGCAAGACAAGCUAGAGCUUGACAAAAAUCGUCUGUUCACUACAUGCUGCGUGUAUGUGUACUCACAUGCACACACACACACACACAUAUACACGGACAUGACAGGCACACAUAUAUACACAUACACACAUAUAUGUAUAGAUAUAUAUGUGUGUGUGUGUGUGUAUAUAUAUAUAUAUAUAUAUAUAUAUAUAUAUACAUAUACAUAUAUAUAUACACACACAUAUAUAUAUAUAUAUAUACAUAUAUAUACAUAUAUAUAUAUGUAGAUGUGUAUAUAUAUAUAUAUAUAUAUAUAUAUAUAUGCCUAUAUAUAUAUUUAUAAAUAAGGAUAAUAUCGAUAUUUAAAUAUCGAUAUUAUCAAGUGGCCAGCAUGGGCCAGAGUCUGGAUUUGACUGCUAUUUCACCAUAGUGGUGUCUCUCAGACACCCUUAUUUUUAGUUGUAAAAAAAUUAUUACCUUUGUAUGGUAUAUAUAUAUAUAUAUAUAUAUAUAUAUAUAUAUAUAUACAUGAAUGUGUGUGUGUGUGUUAAAUAGAAUACACAACAAAGCCCAGGCUGUGUUAAUUUUCAGGACAUUUAUAAAAAGAAAGUUAGUCUUACAGCUGUUUCUGGUAUAUUAGGGAUAUCCCUUCACCAGAGACGAUGUGAGAUGGUUAAAUAGAGGGAAAUAGUAGAGUUCAAUAUAAGGAGUUAUUCUGGAAAAGGAAAGAAAUAAGGAACAUAGAGGGAAAUAGGGGAAUGAAAAUAGAAAUAAAAGUACAUAUGUAUUCGAAACAUGUUGCAAGUAUAAAGAUUUGAAUAACACCUGCGUUUAACUCCAUUUCUUAAUUUAUAUAUGUAUAUAUAUAUGUGUGUAUGUAUGUAUAUAUGUAUGUGUGUAUAUAUAUAUAUAUAUAUAUAUAUAUAUAUAUAUAUAUAUAUAUACAUAUAUAUAUGUGUAUAUAUAUGUGUGUGUAUAUAUAUAUAUAUAUAUAUAUACAUACCUCUAUCAUCAGCUGGAGAUGUAAGCCUCCAAAUUGCCAGAUCACAAUCUAUACUUUUGUAUAAUAUUAUAUAUAUUAGCGAUUUAAUGCUUCUGUGAUUGUGUGUGUGUGUGUGUGUAUUCUUGUCUGUUGCCAUAGAGGUGGAAGCUAAAGUGUCAGGAAGUGGUUUAGUUUGGAUUCCCUGUGGAUCUGGUUUCAAUUCCUUGUGGGACCAUUUUGUUUAUUUUGUUUCACUUGCAUGAAAAGCCAUGUUUUGUGAAAUCAAUUAAGCCUAUAACUUUUAUACUUCCUUCCAUCAUCACCACCACCACCAUCAUCGUCAUCAUCAUCAUUGCCACCACUUUCGUCCUCAUCACUGCCAUCAUCAACAUCAUCAUCAUCAUCAAAUUUGCUCUUCCUUGCUGGUUUUGAUUUUGUUAUUUUUGUUCCGGUACAACAUCUUGCGGCUGAUUGUGGUCAUUUCCAUGGUAUUAGCAAGGGUGAAGAAAGGCGGGGAGCUGGCAGGAACGUUAGCACGUCAGGCGAAAUGCCGUUACGUCGUGAGUUCAAAUUCCGCCGAGGUCGACUUUACCUUUCAUCCUUUCGGGGUCGAUUAAAUUAAGUACCAGUUACGCCCUGGGGUCGAUGUAAUCGACUUAAUACCUAUGUCUGUCCUUGCUUGUCCCCUCUAUGUUUAGCCCCUUGUGGUUAGUAAAGAAAUAGGUAUUAGCAAGGGUGUGAACGCUACACAGAGAGGCCACUUCAAAAGGGUUUGGGUAGGAACAAACAUAUUGAAUGCAUGUUAUGUCUAAGGAAUUAAAGAGGUAAAGGGCAGCCCGUUUAUUUACCACAACCAGGUAACCAAAGCCCACAGUAUGUCACAAAUUCCUUUCUCAUCAAAAACAUAAAACAAAAAAAAAAAAUACACAACAAAGUUGUUCUUUUUCUAUUUUGCAUGAAUUAUAUAUCUUGAAGUUCUUCCUGUUGCCUAAUCACUUUACAGCAUUGGCUGGGUGAAUAUUAUCACACCUCCAACACUGGAGAGGUUGUCUGUCUGAUGCAGGUGUAAAGUGUCCUCCCUUUGUCUUUUUAGUUUUUUGCUGGGGUGACUGUAUUCCCAUAUGCGCUACAUUUAUUGCAGUUUUGAGUGAAUUCAGUCAUUCUCACCUAAAGUUUAAAAAAAGGGGUUGAUUACCUGUUUAAUGGAUAGUAUUGAUUACAAAAUAAUGAAGCCAAACAAGAUGGAUGUUUGCCUUUUGUUUAUAUUUUCAUGCUGCAUAUCACACCUCAGUCGUUGGCAUAAAUUGUUAAUGUAAUAGAAACCAGAGUUAUAUUUGAUGUUUCUGUUUAAACCAUUUUUUAGGAUGAUAUUUGUUAUGAAACACCGUGCCUAUGUAUUUCAGUUAAUGAUGAUGAUGCUGCUGUUGAUGAUGAUGAUGAUGACGACGACGACAACGAUCAUGAUAGUCAUGAUCGCCAUCAUCAUCGUCAUCAUCAUUUAACAUCUGAUUUCUAUGCUGGCAUGGGUUGGAUGAUUCAACAAGAGCUGACAAACCAGAGAGCAAUACCAGGCUCCAGUCAUUUGUUUUGGCGUGGUUUCUACAGCUGGAUGCCCUUCCUAAUGCCAACCACUAAAGAGAGUGGACUGGAUGCUUUUCAUGUGGCACCAGAUGGGCGCUUUGUAUGUGGCACAAGCACGGGUGCUUUUCACUUGACACCAGCACAGUUGCUUUUUAUAAGGCACCGAUGUGAGUGUUUUUACAUGGUAUCAGUACAAGUGACUUUUACAUGGCACCAAUAGGGUUGCUUUUUAAUGGUGCCAGCAUGGGAGCUUUUUAUGUGACACCAACAUGGGUCACCAAAUAAUCAAGAAUUUCUAGGGAUUCAGUAAAAACUGGCUAAAAUUUAACACAGCACAAUUCAUUCUCAAUAGAUUCUGGUAAAUUCAAAUAUGAUGUUGCUGAUUGUUGUUGCUUUUUGUCAUUGGAUAACCUCUGCACUCUUUAGAUGAUGUGUGCUCAUAAUACACAUGAUUCAUUGAUGUAAGAGGGCUUUUUGAGACUCCUUGGUGUUUCAACAUUUUUGUAUGUCUCCUCAGUCAAACUUACCUCCAGAUUAAUCAAACUAACAAGUGUAUUCACUUUUGUUCAUAGAAAUCAUAAAAAAAAUUAUUUGUGAUGCAUGCUGAUGUCUAUAAUAAUGCUGAUGUCUGAUAAUAAUACAUGCAGUGCAAGCAGAACAGUGAAAAGCUGGACAAUAAUGUAUCUUUUCAUUCUCAGUAUUGUUUUACUAUUGGAACAGUUUCUUACAUAAAAGUAUAGCUUUUAACUUUAAAAUUUUUGGCACCAUAUUUCUGUUAAAAUACACAGGUGCAGGAUUCCUUCUACUCCCUAUUAUUAUUGUCUGCCUGAUAGUCACCAUUCUUCUCUUAACACCCAUCUCUUGUACUUUAUUCUGACACCGAGAUUCUGUUGUUCAAGAAAACGGUCUUUAUAUCCUCCUCUUUGGUUACUUUAUUUCCUAUAAUUAGCUUUUUUUAUUGAUUGACAUCUCUUCGAUUCUCAGAAUUCGGUAGUUUGAUUUUGCAGUGUAACCAAUAACCUUCUCCCUCAUUUCUGUUAAAAUACACAGAUAUUAAUUUUGAAAAUAAUAAAGAAUUUAGGAAAAGAAGUUGGUGUUUGGAACAUAAAUCAACAUAUAAUUUUGAUGUGAGGUUUUAAUUUAGGUAACUUUAUUACAAUGAAUUUAUGUCACAGAAGCAAGGGAUAGUCUCAGGGAGGUUGGAAUAAAAAAAGUUAAAAGGCUUCUCAGAUGGCAAGCAGAGGAAACAGAGGGUCUGGUUCAAAUGUUUGCUGUUCUGGAAAAAGCAGAGAAGGAUCCACUUAAUUCCUUCUUAACCCUUUUGUUACUAUAUUGUUGUUGAAAUUCACUGUUUUUGUUUGGAUCCAUUUUGAAAAUAAGGAAGAAUUCAGUAGAAUGACUUUUGGCAUUAUUAAUACAGUGUUUGGGACAUAAAUUAACAAGAAAUUUUUAUGAAAAGUUUUAAUUUCGAUCACUUUAAAACAAGGUGUUUGUCUCAUAGAAUUAUCUUGCAGGGAGAAGGAAAAUCUGAUGAUUUCUGGUGCUUCUUUCACCAGAAAGACAAAGAAAGAAUUUUUACAUUUUUGCCAACACCAACAACCCAGAGUUUUUCUUCAUUUCCAAGGUUUUUGUUCAUUUGAUUUUUAUAUAUAUAUAUAUAUAUAUAUAUAUAUUUUUUUUUUGAUUAUUUUUUUAACCAACUUUCCGUUCUUCCAAAAUUCCCAUGAUAGUCCACUAUUUACUCCCCGUUCCCAAUCAAUAAAAAUGACUGUUCUAGUUUUACCAUCCCGCUGCUACAGACAUAGAUUUAUAAUUUCACAGUUCUGUAAUCGCCAAUAAUCAAUAAUCGUCAGAUUUUGCUCUGAACAUAUUGUUGGAGCAGAACUGGUGUCACUAAUUUGCAUAGUCAUAGAUUCAUAGAAAGAGGAGGACAAAGAAGAGCAGGAGGAGUGGGAGGAGAUGGAAGAGAUGCACACAUUACAGUUGUCCAGUUCCCUGAAGCAGCAACUUAAUCAUUUAUUCUCAAUUAAUAUAUAUAUAUAUAUAUAUAUAUAUAUAUAUAUAUAUAUAUAGAGAGAGAGAGAGAGAGAGAGAGAGAGAGAGAGAGAGUAUGUAUACUUAUGUGUGUAUGAAUAAGUAUGUAUUUAUGUGUCUAUGCAUUUGCAUGCAUGUAUAUACAUAUAUGUGUGUGUGUAUAUAUAUCUAUAUAUAUUGGAAGGUUUGGAGAUGAUGUACAGGUAUUUUAUAUUAGAAGAAAUGAGGUACUCAGAAAUUCGGAUGGUUUUAUAUUUACAGAUAUUUAUUUGUAUAUUACAUGUUUUUAUACAUCAUAUAACUUAGAUCAUAUAUUAGCGCUUUCCCCCAUUCUAGUGGGGUUUUCAAAUCGAACUCUAUCUAUCUAUCUAUCUAUCUAUCUAUCUAUCUAUCUAUCUAUCUAUCUAUCUAUCUAUCUAUAUAUAUAUAUAUAUAUAUAUACACACACAUACACAUAUAUAUAUACACAGUCACAGACACACACAGAUACACACACAUAAUAUAUAAGGUGGCCAGUUCAUAAAAUCAUUAGAGUGUUGGGUAAAUUGCUUUGUAAUUAUCAGUCUGGUUCUCUUUAACCUGAGGUCAACUUUGCCUUUCAUCUUUGAUGAUUCAUGUAUUAAAUACCAGUGCUAUCCUGAGGUUGGCACAUCUCUUUUUCACACCCUGUCUGUCUGAUUCUUUUAUUCUUUUCUUAUCUUGAAGAAAUUGUCAGUGGUCAGACCAAAAGCCUUGUGAAUGGAUUUGAUAGAUGGAAACUGAAAGAAGCCUGUCAUAUAUAUGUGUGUGUUUGGUGUGGUUUGUGUACAUGUGUGUGUUCAUGUUUGCCCAUCAUCACUGUGUGACAACCAGUGUUGGUGAGUUUACAGUCCUGUAACUUAGUGGUUCGGCAAAAAGAGAUUGUUGGAAUAAAUACCUGAUUUUUUUUUAAAAUCAGUACUGUGGGUGAUUCAUUCAGCUAAAGUACUUCAAGGCGGUGUCCCAGCAUGGCCACACACCCAUGACUGAAACAAACAAGUAAAUGACAAAAGGAAGAAGAUAUGUAUAUAUAUGUAUAUACAUAUAUAUAUAUAUAAAUAGAUAGAUAGACAGACAGAUAUGUGUGUGUAUGUAUAUAUGUAUGCAUGUAUGUAUGUAUAUAUAUAUAUGUGUGUGUGUGUGUGUGUAUAUAUAUAUAUAUGUAUGUAUGUAGAUGACUGCAUUUGUACGUUUAUAUAUUUGUAUUUUUUCGUAUAUACACACACGUAUAUAUAUACCCAUGCUAGAUGUCCAACCCAUGCUACCAUGGAAAACGGACGUUAAAUGAUGAUGAUGAUGAUAUAUAUAUGUACAUAUGUAUAUUUGUGUACUCACACACAUGUACACACACUUCAAACCACAGAGCAUAAGCAAUCUGUCUAAACUAUACACCACAAGAACACCUCCAAUAAAUUCCAGAGUAUUUCAAGGUUCAAUACCUCUGUCAAUACUUUACCAAUUCUUCACAAAGAAUUUCCUGAAGUCUCCAAUAACAACACCAUUCCUUCUACUCCCUAUUAUUAUUGUCUGCCUGAUAGUCACCAUUCUUCUCUUAACACCCAUCUCUUAUACUUUAUUCUGACAAUGAGAUUCUAUUGUUCAAGAAAUCAGUCUUUAUAUUCUCCACUUUGGUUACUUUAUUUCCUAUAAUUAGCUUAUUUUAUUGAUUGACAUUUCUUCGAUUCUUAGAAUUCGAUAGUUUGAUUUUGCAUUGUAACCAAUAACCUUCUUCCUCAUUUAACAACUUAUUCCAAGUGCAUUCUGAGUGAUGGCCAUCCAGCAAGAAAAUCCCUUCCAAUUAUGGUCUUUACAUUUCUUCUCAUCGAAAAGGCGAUGAAGUAAUAAACGAUGUCUUCUAGAUGUCCUCUAUAAUUAAUACACGUUAAUUGUUAACUAUCAAAGGCAGGGAAUUGGCACAGAUUAUGAAGUGUAAGCUAGAUGGUUUAAAGCAGUGGUUCCCAAAUUUUUUAGAGUCGCGACCCACUAUUUAUCACACCAGUUUAUGACGACCCACUUAACUCUACUGAAUAUCUCGAUAGACAGCAGUUAAUCAAAGCUAAUGCGUUAUUUUAUAACUUUUUGCGACCCACUAAGAUUCCGUUCGCAACCCAUCUGUGGGUCACGACUCAUAGUUUGAGAACCACUGGUUUACAGUAUUUGUUUAAGGUCACCAGCUGACAGAAUCAUUAGAGCACCGGGUAAAAUGCUUAGUGGCAUUUCAUCCGUCUUUACAUUCUGAGUUCAAAUCCCACCAUGGUGAUAUUAAGUUGUGGACAAAGUAACAUAUGAGGAAAAUCGGAACAACAUCAUACAUCUCUAAAAACCAAAACCUCUGACCUGAAAUAUGUAUGUAUGUAUGUAUGUAUGUAUGUAUGUAUGUAUGUAUGUAUGCAUGUAUGCAUGUAUGCAUGUUUGUAUGUAUGUGUAUGUAUGUAUGUGUGUGUGUGUGUGUGUGUGUGUGUGUGUGUGCAUGGAGAUAGUGAUAGAGAUAGAGAGAGAGUGAUAUUAUAUAUAUAUACAUACUAACAUAAUGUGGAGGUGCAAUGGCCCAGUGGUUAGGGCAGUGGACUCGCAGUCAUAGGAUUGCGGUUCUGAUUCUCAGACCGGGCAUUGUGAGUGUUUAUUGAGAAAAAAAACACAUAAAGCUUCACAAGGCUCCGGCAGGGGGUGGUGGUGAUCCCUACCAUACUGUUUCACCGCAACUUUCUCUCACUCUUUCUUCUUUUGGCCUGCGGGGUGGCAUCAUUGAAGGCUAAAACAAUGCAAAGUGCAUUGUGACCAGCAAUGUGUAGCAACAUUUGAUGGCCUGGUCGGUCACGUGAUCACGUGACUAACAUAACUAGAGGCUCACACAACAUAAAUAGAGUAUGCAAAAGAAACAUUAAAAUGCUUGCUGUCAAAUAAGACAGAAUCUAAUCAAAAAUACCAAAUAGAUGGCACCGAAACAAUUGUGUUGGCACAUCUCAUAAUCCCUCCUCAAAAACCAACUGUACAGGUUAGAAAGAAGUAGAAACAGAAGCAAAAUUUACACUUUUUGUCUUUUUUUUUUUUUUGCUUUUUCUUGAUAUUUUGACCAAACAACGCCCUUGUCAUAGCUGAAGUAAAGCAAAAUGUCAUUCUGACAUAGGCAGAGAGACAAUGUCAAAUACUGGACAGAAAGGGCGUUGUGAUAUUAUGCAGUUAGCUGUUGUUGUAUUAACUAAUUAGUAUCAUGUAAUUGCAACAGUUAGGACUUUCUUGAUGAAUUUUAUUUAGAAGCUGCAUUUUAAUUUUAUCAUAGAAUUACAUGUAAAAAUAUCCGUGUUUUUGCAUUCUUUUUUUAUAUCAAUUUUAUUGUUUCUUUUGUCCUUUGGUUUGUUGUAAUUUUGUGUUGGGUCUGAAAUGCUACACAAAAGGGAUUAUAUCUCAUUCUGAUGAUAAUUUUAUACAUGCAUGCAAAAAUUUAAGCAUGCAUAUGUAAACAUGUAUAAAGUCAGAUAUACGCAGACAUUCAGAUGCAUGCAAAUACAGACACACAUAAACACAUACAAAAGCAGAUGCAAGUAAAUACGCAUGCACGGACAUAUAAGGAAUCACAAGCUAGUACAGACAUGCACAUAUACAAACACAAGCAAAGCAAUACACUCCCACACUAACAUAAACAUAGACACAGAAAUAUAUACAUACACAUAUAAAGAUAUACGAAUACAUAUGGAAAAAGACAUACACGCACACAAAGAUAGCACGUGCAUGGAAAACAUAUACACACUCACACACACAAAUAUACAUGGGCAGACACAGAAAUGUACGUACAUAUAAACAUAAACACACAAACACAUAGAAAAACAAAUGCACACAAACACACAUACAAAUAUGGUAAAACACAUGCAUAUACAACACACAUGGAAAAUACAUUUGCAAAUAUACACACGAUAAACAUACAUUUAAAAAUACACACUCACACACAAAUAUAAUUUACAUACACAUGUAUAAACAUAGCUGCACAAACACAUAGGGAAAAAUUGAUUCAUAUAUAUAUAUAUACAUACACGUAAACACACAUGCUAACGCACACAUGCAUAUAUAGACAUACUCAGAUAGAUACACAAAAACUUGCAUACACACACACAUUGUUUUGCAUACACACAAAAACAAACAAAAAAAUGUUUCCACAAUUCCUGUUCCUGUAGAUGUCCUUCUUCACAUGGAACCAAUCCAUCAUUUUGGCAAAGAACUUGAAUUUCCCAGUUAAAUUCUAACAGCACUGCAUCCCCCCAACACCAACACAACCCAAACUCAUCUGCGCACACAUGCACACCCAGACACACACACACACACACACACACACACAUACACACACACACACACACAGACAUACGCGCAAGCGCAUAAACACACAUACACACAUGCAUACACACAUACAGUCACAUGCACAUACAUGCACUCACACAUACACACACGCAGACAUACAGACAAGCGCAUACACACACGCAUACACACACAUACAGUCACAUACACAUACAUAGACUCACACGCACACACAUACAUGCACACUCACACACACACACAUACAUACAGAAACAAAUUAAUAAAUACACACACAAACACACAUGCACACACAGAUAUACAGAGGUAGGCACACAAACUCAUGCACAUGCACACGCAUACAUGCCACACACACACAAUUUGAUUUCGUAUUCCUUCCCAUCCUCUUCUAUUUAAAGCAGCACUUACCCACCCGCCCAUGCCUACUCCUCAUCACACCAGUUAACCUCUGACUAACACUGAGUCGGCAGAGCUUUCAUUGCAAGGAAUUUGAAAUGAAGUUUUAAUCCAAUAUCAGAAAGGUUUUGCUUUUUUUUUGGGGGGGGGACCAGCUGUCACCAGCUCUGAUAUCACAUGGAACUCAAUAAUGAUAAUAAUAAUAAUAAUAAUAAUAAUAAUGAUAAAAAUAAUGAUGAUCAGGGUGGCAAGAGGGUAUUAGGGAGGGUGGGGUAAUGUAACAGCUUGAAACAUCUCACAACAUGGCAGAGAUAUCUAGAUUUACGUCUGACCCAUCACUAACUGUUGCGGUUCUGUAUUUUGUGCAUGACUGUUGCUGUUAACAAUAUUGUUGUUAUUGUCGAUGUAAGGUGGCAAGCUGGCAGAAACGUUAGCCUACAGGGGGAAAACCUUAGGGGUAUUUCGCCUGCCUUUACGUUCUGAGUCAAAAUUCUGCCGAGGUCAACUUUGCCUUUCAUCCUUUCGGGCUCAAUUAAUUGAGUACCAGUUGCAUUCUGGGGUCGAUCUAAUCGACUGGCCCCACUCCCGCCAAAUUUCGGGUCUUGUGUCUAGAGUAGAAAAGAAUAUUGUUAUUGUUGGUGUUGUUUGUUGUUUAGCCCCAGGUUAGUUCCAGUCAGGAGUAUAUCAUGAUCAAAGACCUGAAAAUAUGUAAUCUUCAUUGGGAUCUUUUCGGUUUGAAUGGUAGUUUUUUCUAGCGGUGUCAUAUGAAAUUGUCACCCAUAAUUAUGACCCUAGUAUCGAUCUAUUGCAUUUCAAUCUGUUUUAGGGUUAGGAUUAGUUAGGGUUAGGGUUUUGGGUGGGGUAUCUUUUUUCUUCACAAAUGUAAAUAAACCCAAUCUGUUUCUUAAACAAGGGACAUAUUCAUACGGCACAGAAUGUUUUUUACCUCAAUAGAGGUCAGUGAUUGGUUGAAAUUGCAGAAAUUGAAGAAAAAAAACAACAAAUAUCUUACAAACUAUAGAAUUUUCUCAAUAAAGCCAAGAGAAAAAGAUGUUUUAUAAACACAUUCUUCCAGUAUACGAAGUUUAAAAUUUUUUAGUUACCUAGAAAUUAUGUUAAAAACUGCCGUUCAAACCGAAAAGAUCCCUUCAUUGUUCAAAUGCUUUUGAUUAUUGGUCUGCUGGAACAGUUGGUUCGGUGUUAAAAUUCAGUGACAUCAAAUAAGAAAUACGAAGAAAAUGUUUGCUGAGGGAAUGCAUUUUUUAUCAUAGAUCUGCAGGGUUAGAGCAGGCCUGGCUCUUAACAGGGGCAAAAUUUCUAUCACAACAUCUUAACCCUUUCGUUACUGUAUUUAUUUUGAGAUGCUUUGUGUUUCUUCCAAUUAUUUUAAAUAUAACAAAGAACUAAGAUUUGGUGGAAGAUUUGAAUUCAAAACUUAUGAAAACAAGACAGUUAGAUUAAAGAGCCAGAGUCGGUUUCAGCCGGGUUGGUAACGAAAGGGUUAAUAUGAACAGGGAUCAAAGAUUAAAGGGUCUCCGAUGUCCUUCUCUCAGUUUUUGUGGGUUUAACUACGUGAAUGCAUCUAGUUUCUGAAUAAGGUCAUCUGCUAAACUAUUUGUAUGUCCAUUGAAUAUCAGAAAUUGCAAAUGGCUGGAUCAUCUUCUUUGUAAACCAUCACCAAAACAUCCCUGUCAUUUACAAAAGUGGAAUCAUCCAUUAUAUAGAGGGAAAGAAUAAACACAAAAAGAUGAUGGUAUUAAAACUAGCGCAACGGUAUUCUUUAUAUUCUUCGUCUCGUAAAAGUUACAGAAUAAGAAAUUCAUAAAUGUAUAUAUACAUACAUACAUACAUACAUACAUAUAUAUAUGUGUAUAUAUAUAUAUAUAUAUAUAUAUAUAUAUAUAUAUAUAUAUCUAUAGAUAUAUUUAUGCACACACACACACACACAUAUAUAUGUAUGUAUGUAAUGUAUAUAUACUUUAUACAUCCAUGAAUGUAUGCGUGUAGAUACAUGACAUAAUAAAUAAACAGAUAUAAAUAAGUAAAUAGUUUUUUAUCAACUAAUUCUUGCAGUCUUUGAUGUUGAAUGAUUCAAACAAGAACCAAUAUGCUUCUUGCUUUUCUUCUUCUUCUUCUUCUUCUUCUUCUUCUUCUUCUUCUUCUUCUUCUUCUUCUUCUUCUUCUUCUUCUUCUUCUUCUUCUUCUUCUUCUUCUUCUUUUCCUUCUCCUCCUCUACCUCCUCCUCCUCCUUGUCUCGGCACCAAUCUCCAGAAUGGGUCUCCUACAUUUUAUUAAGCCAUUAUUACAUCCAGAAAUGUUUGCGUCUGACAAUAGCGGCUGAUACAGGAGAUUCCUUAAUGUCCGACGGAUAUUCCACAACCGGAGAACUAUCCGAUGCUGUAUCUGUUCUCAGUAUCAUUUAAUACCAUGUGUGUCCAUUAUAUAUACAAAAUGUAUAUUUGGCAGACACUAUUAGUUAUAUAUUCAUCUUCUUGUUUGUUUCUUUCUGGUUAAUGUGUGUAUGUAUAUAUAUAUAUAUAUAUUUAUAACAUCAUCAUUGUCAUUGUCGUCAUCAUCAUCAUCAUCAUCAUUUAACGUCCACAUUUCAUGCUGGCAUAAGUUAGAUGGUUUGACUGGGGCUGAUAAGCUGGAGGGCUGCACCAGGUUCCGGUCUGAUUUGGCAUGGUUUCUACGGCCAGAUACCCUUCCCAAUACCAACCACUCCAGGAGUGCAAUGGGUACUUUUAUGUGUCAAUGGCAUGGAUACCAUUUACAUGACAAUGGCAAUGGCCAUAUGGAUGCCAUAAUAUAGGCGCAGGCAUGGCUGUGUGGUAAGAAUCAUGCUUACCAACCACAUGGUUCUGGGUUCGGUUCCAUUGCAUUGCACCUUGGGUGAGUGUCUUCUGCUAUAGUCUCAGGCUGACCAAAGCCUUGUGAGUGGAUUUGAUAGAGUGAAACUGAAAGAAGCCUGUCGUAUAUAUAUAUAUAUAUAUAUAUAUAUAACAUCAAUGGAAAUUGCAGCUGUGAUACCAGUACUGGUGGUAUGUAAGAGAACCAUCCGAACGUGGCUGUUGCCAGUGCUGCCCUGACUGGCCUUGUGCCGGUGGCACGUAAAAAGCACCAUCCGAUUGUGGCCUUUGCCAGCCUCGCCUGGCCCCCGUGCUGGUGGCACAUAAAAAGCACCCACUACACUCAUGGAGUGGUUGGCGUUAGGAAGGGCAUCCAGCCGUAGAAACAUUGCCAGAUCAGACUGGGCCUGGUGCAGCCUUCUGGCUUUCCAGACCCCAGUUGAACCGUCCAACCCAUGCUAGCAUGGAAAGCGGACGCUAAACGAUGAUGAUGAUGAUAUAUAUACAUAUGCACACACACACACACACUCAUAAACACACACAUAAACAUAUGCAAAGAUAUAUAUAUAUAUCUCAGGUGAAAGCAUUGCUGUGUGGUUAA
rnacentral:lncRNA from 1 species